rnacentral:tRNA from 1 species
GCUUUCGUGGUGUUACGGCAGCACACUCGUAUUCGAGAGGCCCAGUUUCGAGUCCCGGCGAAAGCA